rnacentral:rRNA from 1 species
ACGAACGCUGGCGGCGUGCCUAACGCAUGCAAGUCGAGCGGGGAUGGUAGCUGAAAGUGAUGAGCUGGAAGCUGCCAUCUUAGCGGCGGACGGGUGAGUAACACGUGAGCAACCUACCCUCAGCACGGGGAUAACAGCUCGAAAGGGCUGCUAAUACCCGAUGGGACCACGUCAUUGCAUGGUGAUGUGGUGAAAGGGUGGACGUAAGGUCCAUACCGGCUGGGGAUGGGCUCGCGGCCCAUCAGCUAGUUGGUGGGGGUAACGGCCUACCAAGGCGACGACGGGUAGCCGGCCUGAGAGGGUGACCGGCCACAGUGGGACUGAGACACGGCCCACACUCCUACGGGAGGCAGCAGCGGGGAAUCUUGCGCAAUGGGGCGAAAGCCUGACGCAGCGACGCCGCGUGAGGGAAGGAGCCCUUCGGGGUGUAAACCUCUUUGGACGGGGAGAAAGUAGGAGAUAGUACCCGUUUAAAAAGCCACGGCUAACUACGUGCCAGCAGCCGCGGUAAUACGUAGGUGGCGAGCGUUGUCCGGAAUUACUGGGCGUAAAGGGUGCAUAGGCGGCCUGGGUAAGUUUGAGCGUGAAAAUUUUUGGGGCUCAACCCAAAAGGAGCGUUCAAGACUGCCAGGCUUG